GAAAUUGGGCUUGCUGCAGCAAAGGCCAGCAGCAUCCUUUUUGUCGAGCUGCCUGCAUGCCAGUCACCUUGUAGGAUGAAACCUUCCCCAAGGAAAGCAUCCAUCGGAUUUUAUGUCUACCUCCUGAAGUCACGAGGAGGCAGAGCCCACUCCUGCCCCUCUGGAAGCCAACGAGAGAACUCCUUGACUUGACUGGGAACGCGUUCAAGUAAUGAUUCAGGUGACAACUGCUUUCUCACUUCCACCUGUGCCAAUGAAAUCAGGCGCUGACCUCACCUCUCCUCACCUGGAUGUCCACCUCCAGCCUUCGGCUCCAACCUCUGAGCCUUCUGCUUUGUAUCCUUCUGCCCCUCUUCACAUCACUCCUGCAAUGUGUGUGUGGCUCUGGGCUGGCAGUGCUACACGUCAGGGAAUCGGGAGGAAAACAGGAACCUAAGCAGACAUUGGAUGACUUAGUAACAGCCACAGCACAUUGCUGUUUCCAUGUGUUUUGGAUCCUCUCUGAACAAGAUGCUUCUGAAGCUUCCCAUUUCUGGGCAUGGUGGUUGGCAGUUGUCCUAAAUACACAGCCCUUUCAAAAUUUCAGCUUCAAAUCUCAUGCCUCUUCCUGAGCACAUGCAGGGCUCAAUUUUUCCUGUGUUUUCCAAAAGCUUUGUUAGUAAAUCACUCAGAGAGGACAAAAACUCCUGAAGACAAGGGAUGAAUAUCUAUGCUUCUUCCUACACCCCUUUGCAAGAGGAACAAAGUAGGCUAUCUAUAAUGAUAGUCACUAAGUUACCAGGUCAACCCCUCUCCCUGUCCUCAUUCACCAUGUUGUGUGUUUCUGCACCAUCCCUGGACUCAAAUGAUAAAAGACAUCCAUGCCAGGUCAUUCCCAGAGCUUUCACCCCAGGUCUGUCUGCUUUUCCUUUCAAAGCACACCAAAGGCUAAUCCCAGUGGAUCAAAUACCUCAAAGAACACAUGGAAGGAGAUGCUAAAGAAUGCGGGGAAAUGGAAGAGAGCUAUCAUGCUCAUGAGGAUCUGAUGGGGGUGGGUAGAGGUAUGACCGAAGCUUGCAAAUCAGAAAGGCAAUGCAUAGGGUGAGCGUACAACUGAUAGUUGAGAAAAAUUCCACAGCUCUAGGAGGAGGUGGAAUGCUUUGAAACCAUCAGAUCUGUUCAACAAGAACAGAAGAUAGCCUACAGUAAAUCUUCUGGUAUUCCUUACGAUAGGAAAUUUUGGACGAGAGCAUAAACAGGACCACAAUGGUCUCAGGCAAACUAAAUGCCAACAAAUUCAUAUGCAGAUGCAACGGAAAGAUGGCAGUGGUGUACCUUGCCACUAAUCCAUUGAUUACAAAAGCAGAAAAAAAAAAAAAAUAAGAGGUCACCGGACUGAAGGUGAACCGGAGAUAUUCAAAACUCACCUGGAAAUUUUCUUGUGCAACCUACCCCAGGGAAUCCGCUUUAGCAGCAGAUUGGACUAGAUGUGCUCCAGAGGCCCUUCCCAUCCUAUCUGAAUGAUUAUGUGACUGCAAAUACUGGCCCAGCCUCCAUACCCUACCCUGCUGAGCAUUUCUGGUUGCUGCUGCCUAAUUACAGGACAAGGCAGAUUGCUGGUCUGAUAUAGCAAGGAUUCUCUUGUGUUGUUAAAGAGCAAAAGUUGUUUCUAACACGUGCUGAACUCUGUAUUAAAAUUCUGUAAUCAGUUUUCUUCUGACCCACAUAUUCUAGUAGAUGAUUUUCCUGAUGAGGAAUAUUUUCAGUAAUGGCAACCUUUUGGAAGCAUUGAAGAGGCUGCUCAAGAAGGGGAAUGAUUAAUUCUUAAUAGCAAGUUUCUCAGCAUAUUGAAUGACACAUUCUUACAUUAUAUAUUGAUAUAUAACAUGCUGGCCCCAUGCCAUGCUGACUAGUAGGCCAUUUCCAACAAGGCAUCGUUUAUAGAUAAUGCAGUAGGUAAGGGACAGAGCCAUAAAUGCUGGCUCUUUCAUUUGUACCAAAAUCUUCUGGAACUUCAUUUUGGUUUGAAAGAUGACCGUCAUGGCUAUUGAUAUUAAGCAGAGACAGCAAUAAAUGCAUGUAAGACCAAUCCUGUCCCUGCAUCCCUGAGGCAAGAGGCAUAGCCCAUAGACUUCAAUUUAGAUGAACCACAGAAAGUUAGAUGCUUGUCUAAGGGUUAAUCAGACUUAUUUAAUCAAUACCUCCCAACAGGCUAGCAUGCCUUACUUCAGUUUAACUGUAUGUAACAUGUGCAUUAGUGCAUUUUGCACUUCCAGUACUUGUAAGACCUCAUAACUAAAAUAAAGUUUAAAAAAAAAAAA